rnacentral:rRNA from 1 species
CCGCAACGAGCGCAACCCUUACUUUUAGUUGCCAUCAUUUAGUUGGGCACUCUUAAAGAACUG